UUCGAUAUGUCAGGGCUAAAGUACGCUCCUGAGUUAAAGAAAGACCUCGAGAGACACUGUAGGUACGGUGCUAUUGUUAGUGUGUUGUUGUCAGUACUACUCCAAUACUUUGGUGUGUGGUUGCAUAGUACUCCAAUACUUUGGGGUAGUAAUAAAUGUAUUCGUGGUGGGAAAGCAUCAGUCGUUCGUAUUUGCAGAAUAGGGAAAUCAAUAAAUAUUACCAUUAAGAAAGCAUGCAUGGUAUAGUGAAUACUUAGUAUAGCAGUCAUAUUUUCUUGUCAACAUGCACCUAUUUGGAGGCUUAUCCGAUAUUAUUGCAAUCUGGUAGAACUGACAUAUACUCCCUCCGUCCGGAAAUACUUGUCAUCAAAAUGAAUAAAAGGAGAUGUAUCUAGAUGUAUUUUAGUUCUAGAUACAUCCCUUUUAGUCCAUUUUGAUGACAAGUAUUUUCAAACGGAGGGAGUACUUUACUGGAGCUAGCACCUCAUGCAUAGUUAUUGUAUCAACCAGAAAGAAACUUCCGAUCUACCAUUUUACUAAACCAAAUUGUAUAGUGAGUAAUUGAAGUGAAGUUGUUUUGGGCACCCAAAGAUAAUUCUGUUUGUAUAUUCCUGCCACUUAUAUGGUUACAAGAAGCUAAAUGUUGUUUUUCUUUUUUAUGUUCUAUAAAUUAUUUCCAUGGUUAUCUCUGAUACAGUUUUAAAAUGAUCUUUUUGGACCAAUUAUAUUAGCUCAAGUUGCCAUUUAGUUGAGUUCAAGUUCAGAUUUGGCUGCCAUUUUAGUUCAGUUCAGUUAGGAGCAACGUUUAGCAUUCUAGCUGUAUGAUAUGAUGUCUACACAUUUCCCUGUUCUCUUUUUGUGUAAUGUAAUUCCAGACUCUUUAGGUUAACCACUGCCACUAAUUCUCUAAUGGAUAUGCCAUGUGCAUAGGAAGGGUGCACCAGUUUUUCCUUAUCUUCAUCUGAAUUAAAUCCGUCCAGUGUGUAUGCAGGAACUAAAGACAUGUAUUAGAGAAUGAAGCAUCAAUCAUCUUCUUGCUUAUUGUUUGUCAAAUGCUAUAUUAAAGUACUGUAUCAAUUCCAUUGUUAUUUACACGAAGGGACGGAUUAAGACCUGUGGGAUCAUGGCUCUUUCAGCUUGAGCGUAAGCCUCUCCGGCUGUUCCAUUUACAUUAUAAUAUCUUCAUGUGACAAUUAUGUUUAUUUUCCAUCCUUUUUCAGAGUAUUUGCGAUGUAUCCUUCACUUACAAUGCCACGGGGUUGUUGCGGAUAUUGGUGGAGGACUUGGUGGACUAGCGCAAAAUGGAAUCCUAGAAAGAAGUGAAACUAAUCAGCUAUGGUCAGUCGGC
rnacentral:lncRNA from 1 species